rnacentral:misc_RNA from 1 species
AGUUAAAAAGUACGUGAAAUUGUUGAAAGGGAAACGAUUGAAGCCAGUCGUACCUUCGGGUAAUCAGCCUUUUGGGUGUGAUUUUGUGGAGCGUGAAGAGUUAAACGCCUUCAUGCCUGCAUAUUCGUGCACUUUGGGUGUACUUGCCCGUAUGGUUGGUUAACAUCAAUUUUGGUGGUCAUAAAAUGACUGGAGGAAUGUAGCUUCGAUCUUGUAUUGAAGUGUUAUAGCCUUCGGUAGAUGUGAUGAUCGAGAUUGAGGAUUGCAACGGAUACCCUUUGGGGCUACCUGUCUGAUCUCUGAUCGUUGCUUUGGUGCCGAAAGCUUGCUUACGGUUAUCAAAGUCGAUGGUCAAUAGGUUAGAACGGGUUAAAUUCGUUAAGGAUGUUGACGUAAUGGCUUUAAA